UCACAUAAAAGCACCAAUAAUAAGACACAGGCCUCGAUGGUUAAUUGUACAAACAGAGAGGGCACAAUAGUAACUUCACAUACUUAGUGGUCUCUUCAUAGAGGAAUAAUUAAAAACGAAAGAAACUCAAACUAUGGGGUCCCUGUCUUUCUCUCUGGUCUCCGCAAGGAGUAUCAUCACCUUCCUUUCCUCUUUCUCUGGGCCUCUUCCCAACCAAAAUCAGAGACCAGAGAAACUAGAGAAUAAGAGAAAGAAGUACUGCAGAUGAAGAAGAAUGGCCAUUCUGCGUCCUUUGCUGAGUACUUUGUCGAUGAAGUAAUUAGAAAUAUGGACAGUGAUGGUGAAGCUCCAAUCAAACUCAAAGGUAAAUGGAGAACUUUGGAGUGGGAAAAAUGAUCAUGCAUAUCAAAGUAAUCAAGGCUGCAACAACAAGAAAGCAACACAAGAGUUGUUGUUUCUAUGCUUUUGACACAUGUUCAUUCAUUUCAAAUUAUAGACAUCCUUAUUUUUAUAUUUAGUUUAAUUUGUUGUUAUAUCACAAUUUUGGAUUAUUAAGUUUUUAUUUUUAGUUUGUAUCAAUGUUGGACAUCACAUUUCAUCCAAAAUUAAGGAUUCCAUUGAGCUUUUAUUUUGGCAAAAUGUUGUUUGUAAUUUAUGAUAUCAACAGUUGUAAUUUUAAA